AUUGAACGCUGGCGGCAGGCCUAACACAUGCGAGUCGAACGGUAACAGGAAGCAGCUUGCUGCUUUGCUGACGAGUGGCGGACGGGUGAGUAAUGUCUGGGAAACUGCCAGAUGGAGGGGGAUAACUACUGGAAACGGUAGCUAAUACCGCAUAACGUCGCAAGACCAAAGAGGGGGACCUUCGGGCCUCUUGCCAUCGGAUGUGCCCAGAUGGGAUUAGCUUGUUGGUGGGGUAACGGCUCACCAAGGCGACGAUCCCUAGCUGGUCUGAGAGGAUGACCAGCCACACUGGAACUGAGACACGGUCCAGACUCCUACGGGAGGCAGCAGUGGGGAAUAUUGCACAAUGGGCGCAAGCCUGAUGCAGCCAUGCCGCGUGUAUGAAGAAGGCCUUCGGGUUGUAAAGUACUUUCAGCGGGGAGGAAGGGAGUAAAGUUAAUACCUUUACUCAUUGACGUUACCCGCAGAAGAAGCACCGGCUAACUCCGUG
rnacentral:rRNA from 1 species